rnacentral:rRNA from 1 species
AAAAGGGUAAUAAAUGGAUGACUAGGAUAUUAUAAUAAAGACGUUAUUAAUACGAAAAGUUAGUGGGAGAUAGUAUGAAACUAGAGUUCCAGAAAAGACAGUUGGAUUUAAUAGGAAUUGAAGCAUCUUAGUAUUAAGGAAAAAUCAAGCGAGAUUUCGUAAGUAGCGGUGAGCGAAAAUGAAGAAGAGUAGCGAUUUGAAGGCAAAGAAGGUAACAGCCCUGUAGAUUGUGAAGAAAUUAAAUAUUAAUAUGAAUAUAAAGUAGAAUUAUUUGAAGAUAGGUGUGCCAUACAUCUAAAAUUAAACGUUAUAAUAUACCGAUAGUUUAUGAGUACUGUGAAGGAAAGUUGAAAGAGUAUGAAUGAAAUAGAAUCUGAAAUUUGUUACUUAUAAGCAGACGAUAUUCGUCGUACCUUUUGAAUAAUGGGUUCGUAAGAUAAGUAUUUGGCAAACUUAAGUUAAUAAACGAAGGUGUAGUGAAAACGAGUUUUAAGGAGGAGCUUAAGUCAGAUAGGGCCCGAAACCAAGUGAUCUAGUUAUGAGCAGUUUGAAGCUUUCUUAACAGAGAGGGGAGGAACGAACCGGUGAUUGUGGCAAAAAUCUCGGAGGACUUGUGGCUAGGGGUGAUAUGCUAAUCGUACUUGGUAAUAGCUGGUUUUCUACGAAAACUAUUGAAGUAGUGCGUUGUUAUAAUUUUCUUAUAUGGUAAAGCACUGAAUGGAUAUAUCUAUAGGGUAUAUAAAAUCAAACUAUGAAAGUAUAAGAAGAAUAACAAUAGACAGACAAUUGGCGAGAAGGUCAAUUGUCAAAAAGGGAACAACCUAAAUCAGAAGUUAAGGUCAUUAAUAAAGUGGCUAAGUAGGAAAAAAGUUAAUUAAGAUAGACAAUGAGAAAGUAGGCUUGGAGCCAGCCAUCUUUGAAAGAUUACGUAGAAGUUAACUCAAUAAAUUAAUGAGCUUUAAAAAUUAUGGUGGUUUAAGUUGCUUUUAACCAAAACUCUGAAUUAUAGCCUAUGGCAUAUAGGGAUAAUGGUAGUAGAGCGUUCUGUAAUGUAGUUAUUGCGAUAGCACAUCUGAAGUGAUAAUGCGAAUAUGAGUAAAAAACAGUGUGAGAAUCAUUGUUCAUGGCUUGAGGUUUCCAAUUGGAGGAUUAUCCAAAUUGGGUUAUACAGCCCCUAAAGAAAAAUAUAAGCUGAUGGGGGGAAAAUAAUAAGUAAGAAAUUAUUUAGUUCAUAAGUCCGGUAGGACGAUGUAUGUUUUAAUGAACUAAGUUAUAGGCUGUACUGAAACUAACACAAGUAAGCUAAAAGUGAUGGUAGAAUUUAUCUUAAGGAACUCGGCAAAAUGAUCCUGUAAGUUCGCAAGAAAGGAUGUCUGUCAUUAAGGAAGGAUUUGUCAUGAAUAUGAAUUAAUGGCUGAUCUCAGAAAAUAGGGGGUGUCGACUGUUUACCAAAAACAUAGCCUUCUGCGAAGGACUUUAAGUCUGAAGUAUUGAAGGUGAGGCCUGCCCAGUGGUUGUAUCUAAAUCUAGAUAAUAAAAGAAGUUAUUUAGUUAAGGACAAUUAAACGGCCGCGGUAACUCUGACCGUGAAAAUGUAGCGCAAUCCAUAGCCAAUUAAUUGUUGGCAAGUAUGAAUGGCGUAACGAAUGCCCCACUGUCUCAAGAUAAAAACCAAUGAAAUUGAAGUCGUAGUGAAGAUGCUACGUUCAAAUUGUAAGACGAGAAGACCCCAUUGAGCUUUACUGGAGGCUUAUAUUAUCUUUUUUUUAUUAAGAAGAUGUGGGAAUACCGCCUUCUUAAAAAUGAGAAAAAGGUUUAUUGUGAAGGAAAAGUGUAAGUCAGACAGUUUGGUUGGGGCGACCGCCCUCUAAAAAGUAACGAAGGUGUGCAUAAGGUGUAGAAUGUAAUAGUUAAUAAAGGCCUGACAGUGAGGAAGACUUUCGAGCUGACACAGUUGAUAAAAAUGAAAUUCUGUGGGUUAUAGUGACCCGUUAAUUAAGAGUGGUAUUGUUAACGAGCAACGGAUAAAAGUUACCAUGGGGAUAACAGCGUAAUAUUGUUGGAGAGUUCAUAUCGAUGACGGUGUUUGCGACCUCGAUGUUGAAUUGCGAUUUCCUGGAGGCGGAGGGGCUUUCAAGGGUUGGACUGUUCGUCCAUUAAAAUCGUACAUGAUUUGAGUUCAGACCGGCGUAAGCCAGGUUGGUUUCUAUCUACAAUUUGUUAGGAAACUAAGG